GUUGGGUAGGGGAGCGUUCUGUAAGCCUGUGAAGGUGGCCUGUGAGGGUUGCUGGAGGUAUCAGAAGUGCGAAUGCUGACAUAAGUAACGAUAAAGCGGGUGAAAAGCCCGCUCGCCGGAAGACCAAGGGUUCCUGUCCAACGUUAAUCGGGGCAGGGUGAGUCGACCCCUAAGGCGAGGCCGAAAGGCGUAGUCGAUGGGAAACGGGUUAAUAUUCCCGUACUUGGUGUUACUGCGAAGGGGGGACGGAGAAGGCUAUGUUGGCCGGGCGACGGUUGUCCCGGUUUAAGCGUGUAGGUGUGUGUUCCAGGUAAAUCCGGUUCACUUUAACACUGAGGCGUGAUGACGAGGCACUACGGUGCUGAAGCAACAAAUGCCCUGCUUCCAGGAAAAGCCUCUAAGCAUCAGGUAACAUCAAAUCGUACCCCAAACCGACACAGGUGGUCAGGUAGAGAAUACCAAGGCGCUUGAGAGAACUCGGGUGAAGGAACUAGGCAAAAUGGUGCCGUAACUUCGGGAGAAGGCACGCUGAUAUGUAGGUGAAGCGGUUUACCCGUGGAGCUGAAAUCAGUCGAAGAUACCAGCUGGCUGCAACUGUUUAUUAAAAACACAGCACUGUGCAAACACGAAAGUGGACGUAUACGGUGUGACGCCUGCCCGGUGCCGGAAGGUUAAUUGAUGGGGUCAGCGCAAGCGAAGCUCCUGAUCGAAGCCCCGGUAAACGGCGGCCGUAACUAUAACGGUCCUAAGGUAGCGAAAUUCCUUGUCGGGUAAGUUCCGACCUGCACGAAUGGCGUAAUGAUGGCCAGGCUGUCUCCACCCGAGACUCAGUGAAAUUGAACUCGCUGUGAAGAUGCAGUGUACCCGCGGCAAGACGGAAAGACCCCGUGAACCUUUACUAUAGCUUGACACUGAACAUUGAGCCUUGAUGUGUAGGAUAGGUGGGAGGCUUUGAAGUGUGGACGCCAGUCUGCAUGGAGCCGACCUUGAAAUACCACCCUUUAAUGUUUGAUGUUCUAACGUGGACCCGUUACCCGGGUUGCGGACAGUGUCUGGUGGGUAGUUUGACUGGGGCGGUCUCCUCCUAAAGAGUAACGGAGGAGCACGAAGGUUGGCUAAUCCUGGUCGGACAUCAGGAGGUUAGUGCAAUGGCAUAAGCCAGCUUGACUGCGAGCGUGACGGCGCGAGCAGGUGCGAAAGCAGGUCAUAGUGAUCCGGUGGUUCUGAAUGGAAGGGCCAUCGCUCAACGGAUAAAAGGUACUCCGGGGAUAACAGGCUGAUACCGCCCAAGAGUUCAUAUCGACGGCGGUGUUUGGCACCUCGAUGUCGGCUCAUCACAUCCUGGGGCUGAAGUAGGUCCCAAGGGUAUGGCUGUUCGCCAUUUAAAGUGGUACGCGAGCUGGGUUUAGAACGUCGUGAGACAGUUCGGUCCCUAUCUGCCGUGGGCGCUGGAGAACUGAGGGGGGCUGCUCCUAGUACGAGAGGACCGGAGUGGACGCAUCACUGGUGUUCGGGUUGUCAUGCCAAUGGCACUGCCCGGUAGCUAAAUGCGGAAGAGAUAAGUGCUGAAAGCAUCUAAGCACGAAACUUGCCCCGAGAUGAGUUCUCCCUGAGACUUUAGGUCUCCUGAAGGAACGUUGAAGACGACGACGUUGAUAGGCCGGGUGUGUAAGCGCAGCGAUGCGUUGAGCUAACCGGUACUAAUGAACCGUGAGGCUUAACCUUACAACGCCGAAG
rnacentral:rRNA from 1 species